GGAGUUAGCCGGUGCUUCUUCUGUGAGUGAUGUCCUUCCUGCCGGCUAUUAACCCGCAGGCCUUCUUCCUCACUGAAAGUGCUUUACAACCCGAAGGCCUUCUUCACACACGCGGCAUGGCUGGAUCAGGGUUGCCCCCAUUGUCCAAUAUUCCCCACUGCUGCCUCCCGUAGGAGUCUGGGCCGUGUCUCAGUCCCAGUGUGGCUGAUCAUCCUCUCAGACCAGCUACGGAUCGUCGCCUUGGUGAGCCGUUACCUCACCAACCAUCUAAUCCGACAUAGGCUCAUCCGAUAGCGCGAGGCCCGAAGGUCCCCCGCUUUCCCCCGUAGGGCGUAUGCGGUAUUAGCCUGGGUUUCCCCAGGUUAUCCCCCACUACCGGGCAGAUUCCUAUGCAUUACUCACCCGUCCGCCGCUCGCCACCAGGGAGCAAGCUCCCCGUGCUGCCGCUCGACUUGCAUGUGUUAGGCCGUCGCCGCCACGCGUUCAAUCUGAGCCACGAAUACAAACUACUGA
rnacentral:rRNA from 1 species